GGAAUCCCUAAUAUCUAGCCAAAC
rnacentral:siRNA from 1 species